UACGGAGGGGGCUAGCGUUGUUCGGAAUUACUGGGCGUAAAGCGCGCGUAGGCGGACCUGCAAGUCGGGGGUGAAAGCCCGAGGCUCAACCUCGGAACUGCCUUCGAUACUGCGGGUCUCGAGUCCGGGAGAGGUGAGUGGAAUUCCUAGUGUAGAGGUGAAAUUCGUAGAUAUUAGGAAGAACACCAAGUGGCGAAGGCGGCUCACUGGCCCGGUACUGGACGCUGAG
rnacentral:rRNA from 1 species